ACUGAGUUGCAAAACUCCAACCAUUGUUAACCUACCUGUAUCGUUUCCUCGGCGGGCGAGGCCUCGCCCUCACGCCGACCCCCUUGCGGGGGGAGGCAGCCCGCCUGAGGCGGCACUAAACUAUAUCAUAUUGGCCUCUCUGAGUAGCUUAUAAAUAAGUCA
rnacentral:misc_RNA from 1 species